rnacentral:tRNA from 1 species
UGGAUGUGGCUCAGUGGUAGAGUGCUGGCCUGGCAUGCAUGAGGCCCUGGCUGGGUCCAAUUCCCAUCACUCCAA